GACGAACCGUACGAACGUUAUUCGGAAUCACUGGGCUUAAAGGGUGCGUAGGCGGUCGCGCAAGUCGGAUGUGAAAUCUCAGGGCUCAACCCUGAAACUGCAUUCGAUACUGCGUGGCUAGAGUGCUGGAGAGGAGACUGGAAUUUACGGUGUAGCAGUGAAAUGCGUAGAUAUCGUAAGGAAGACCAGUGGCGAAGGCGAGUCUCUGGACAGCAACUGACGCUGAGGCACGAAGGCCAGGGGAGCAAACGGG
rnacentral:rRNA from 1 species